CCUACGGGACGCAGCAGUGGGGAAUAUUGGGCAAUGGGCGCAAGCCUGACCCAGCAACGCCGCGUGAAGGAAGAAGGCUUUCGGGUUGUAAACUUCCUUUAUGAGGGACGAAACAAAUGACGGUACCUCAUGAAUAAGCCACGGCUAACUACGUGCCAGCAGCCGCGGUAAUACGUAGGUGGCAAGCGUUAUCCGGAUUUACUGGGUGUAAAGGGCGUGUAGGCGGGACUGCAAGUCAGAUGUGAAAAUUAUGGGCUCAACCCAUAACCUGCAUUUGAAACUGUAGCUCUUGAGUGAUGGAGAGG
rnacentral:rRNA from 1 species